GAUUAUGGCUCAGGAUGAACGCUGGCGGCGUGCCUAACACAUGCAAGUCGAACGAAGCAUAUUGACGGAGAUUCGUCGAAGCCGGAUAUGACUUAGUGGCGGACGGGUGAGUAAUGUAUGAGCAACCUGCCUUUCAGAGGGGGACAACAGUUGGAAACGACUGCUAAUACCGCAUAAUGUAUUUUGGUGGCAUCACCGGGAUACCAAAGGAGCAAUCCGCUGAAAGAUGGGCUCAUAUCUGAUUAGCUAGUUGGCGGGGUAACGGCCCACCAAGGCGACGAUCAGUAGCCGGACUGAGAGGUUGAACGGCCACAUUGGGACUGAGAUACGGCCCAGACUCCUACGGGAGGCAGCAGUGGGGAAUAUUGGGCAAUGGGCGAAAGCCUGAACCCCAGCAACGCCGCGUGAAGGAAGAAGGUCUUCGGAUUGUAAACUUCUUUUAUGAGGGACGAAGGACGUGACGGUACCUCAUGAAUAAGCCACGGCUAACUACGUGCCAGCAGCCGC
rnacentral:rRNA from 1 species